UUGAAUUCUGGNAUGAACGAUUUUACACCUUAAUUAUAUCAAGAUUUAAUGAAUGAAACUUAGAGUCAUAGUGAUAAUACUAUUGAUAAAUUAAAAAGACGACAAGACCCUAAGAGUUUUAUACCAYAAUAAAGUAAAUCAUUAAAAAGUUUACUUUAUUAUGUAUUUAAUUGGGGUAAUUGCUAUAAUGAUUAAUUAAUUUUUUACACCAGGUAACAAAUUCCUUUUCAUAAGGAUUUUAAUUCCAAUUACCUUAGGGAUAACAGCGUAAUAAUAUUGGAGAGAACAUAUCUAUAAUAUUGAUUACGACCUCGAUGUUGAAUUAAUGGAUCUUUCUAAGGCAGCGUUUAGAAAAGAAGGUUUGUUCAACCUUUGAA
rnacentral:rRNA from 1 species